UACGAAGGGGGCUAGCGUUGCUCGGAAUCACUGGGCGUAAAGCGCACGUAGGCGGAUUGUUAAGUCAGGGGUGAAAUCCUGGAGCUCAACUCCAGAACUGCCUUUGAUACUGGCGAUCUUGAGUCCGGGAGAGGUGAGUGGAACUGCGAGUGUAGAGGUGAAAUUCGUAGAUAUUCGCAAGAACACUAGUGGCGAAGGCGGCUCACUGGCCCGGUACUGACGCUGAGGUGCGAAAGCGUGGGGAGCAAACAGG
rnacentral:rRNA from 1 species